rnacentral:rRNA from 1 species
AUAAAUAUUCAUUAUGGUUCCUUAGAUCGUUUCUUCCUACUUGGAUAACUGUGGCAAUUCUAGAGCUAAUACAUGCAGUGAGCCUGAAGCCCUUUGGGCGACGGGUGCUUUUAUUAGACCAAGAUCGAUCGGGUUUCGGCCCGUAUUGUGUGGUGACUCUGGAUAACUUUGUGCUGAUCGCAUGGCCACGAGCCGGCGACGUUUCUUUCAAGUGUCUGCCUUAUCAACUUUCGAUGGUAGGUUACUUGCUUACCAUGGUUGUUACGGGUAACGGAGAAUCAGGGUUCGAUUCCGGAGAGGGAGCCUGAGAAACGGCUACCACAUCCAAGGAAGGCAGCAGGCGCGCAAAUUACCCACUCCCGGCACGGGGAGGUAGUGACGAAAAAUAACAAUACGGGACUCUUUUGAGGCCCCGUAAUUGAAAUGAGUACACUCUAAAUCCUUUAACGAGGAUCAAUUGGAGGGCAAGUCUGGUGCCAGCAGCCGCGGUAAUUCCAGCUCCAAUAGCGUAUACUAAAGCUGCUGCGGUUAAAAAGCUCGUAGUUGGAUCUCAGUUCCAGACGAGUAGUGCAUCUACCCGAUGCGACGGCUCGGACUGAACAUCAUGCCGGUCCUUUCUUGGUGCACUUCAUUGUGUGCCUCGAGAAGGCCGGUGCUUUUACUUUGAAAAAAUUAGAGUGCUCAACGCAGGCGAGUCGCCUGAAUAAACUUGCAUGGAAUAAUAGAACAAGACCUCGUUUCUGUUCUGUUGGUUUUUGGAAUACGAGGUAAUGAUUAAGAGGGACAGACGGGGGCAUUC